rnacentral:rRNA from 1 species
ACCUACGGGGGGCAGCAGUAGGGAAUCUUCCACAAUGGACGAAAGUCUGAUGGAGCAACGCCGCGUGAGUGAAGAAGGGUUUCGGCUCGUAAAGCUCUGUUGGUAGUGAAGAAAGAUAGAGGUAGUAACUGGCCUUUAUUUGACGGUAAUUACUUAGAAAGUCACGGCUAACUACGUUCCAGCAGCCGCGGUAAUACGUAGGUGGCAAGCGUUAUCCGGAUUUAUUGGGGGUAAAGGGCGUGUAGGCGGGGUUGCA